AUAUCAAUAAGCGGAGGAAAAGAAACUAACAAGGAUUCCCCUAGUAACGGCGAGUGAAGCGGGAACAGCUCAAAUUUGAAAUCUCACAGGUUCCCUGUGCGAGUUGUAGUUUAAAGAAAUGUUUUUGGAGGCGGCCCAAGCCUAAGUUCUUUGGAACAAGGCAUCACAGAGGGUGAGAAUCCCGUAAGUGGUUUGGCGCUGUCUCUAUGUGAUACAUUUUCAAAGAGUCGGGUUGUUUUGGGAAUGCAGCCCAAAAUGGGUGGUAAAUACCAUCUAAAGCUAAAUAUUGGCGAGAGACCGAUAGCGCACAAGUA
rnacentral:rRNA from 1 species